AACGAACGCUGGCGGCGUGGAUAAGACAUGCAAGUCGAACGGGACAGACCGAGUAGCAAUAUUUGGAAUGUUCAGUGGCGAACGGGUGCGUAACACGUGGAUAACAUUCCGGAAAGCGGGGAAUAGCCCAGGGAAACUUGGAUUAAUACCGCAUGUGGCCGCAAGGCUAAAGACGGGGCCCGCAAGGCCUGUCACUUUCCGAUUGGUCCGCGGCCUAUCAGCUAGUUGGCGGGGUAAUGGCCCACCAAGGCUACGACGGGUAGCUGGGCUUAGAGGACGACCAGCCACACUGGAACUGAGACACGGUCCAGACACCUACGGGUGGCAGCAGUCGAGAAUCUUUCACAAUGGGGGCAACCCUGAUGGAGCGACGCCGCGUGGAGGAUAAGGUCUUCGGAUUGUAAACUCCUGUCAUGCGAGAACAAGGUACUCAGGCUAAUAACCUGAUUGUUUGAUGGUACCGCAAGAGGAAGAGACGGCUAACUCUGUGCCAGCAGCCGCAGUAACAC
rnacentral:rRNA from 1 species